UCUGACAAUUGNCCUCAAAUCGGGUGGGACUACCCGCUGAACUUAAGCAUAUCAAUAAGCGGAGGAAAAGAAACUAACAAGGAUUCCCCUAGUAACGGCGAGUGAAGAGGGAAAAGCUCAAAUUUUGAAUCUGGCACCUUUGGUGUCCGAGUUGUAAUCUAGAGAAGUGUUUUCCGUGUCGGACCGUGCACAAGUUCCCUGGAACGGGGCGUCAUAGAGGGUGAGAAUCCCGUAUAUGGCAUGGACUCCCGAUGCUCUGUGAUACACUCUCGACGAGUCGAGUUGUUUGGGAAUGCAGCUCAAAAUGGGUGGUAAAUUCCAUCUAAAGCUAAAUAUUGGCGAGAGACCGAUAGCGAACAAGUACCGUGAGGGAAAGAUGAAAAGCACUUUGGAAAGAGAGUGAAACAGUACGUGAAAUUGUUGAAAGGGAAGCGUUUGAAGUCAGUCGCGCUCGUCGGAACUCAGCCUGGCUUCUGCCUGGUGUACUUUCUGGCGGGCGGGUCAGCGUCAGUUUUGGUCGAGGGAGAAAGGCAUUGGGAACGUGGCAGUCUUCGGGCUGUGUUAUAGCCCUUUGUUGUAUGCCUCGACCGGGAUUAAGGACUGCAGCGCGCCUUUAUGGNCNGGGUNCGCGCACUC
rnacentral:rRNA from 1 species